GUUGAAAUACUGGUUCUCGUACGAUCACAAAAAUUAAGCAACGUUGAAUCUUGUCAGUACUUAGAUGAGUGAUCGCUUGGGAAUACCAGAUGCUGUU